UUUACGCAACUUAUAUGGCAGCAAUAUGAUUAUGAUAGCAGUACUAUCCGGAAGAGGAUAUUUCAGGAUAUAUUGAUCCAAGUCACUCUGCCCACACUUCAGCGGACAUUGGCUUCAACGUGUAAACCGAUGCUUCAGGAAUAUGAACAGUACAUCUUUAAUGAAUAUAACAGUUUGAUACAAGUUGAGAAUGUCUACGAAGAGAUUCUGUUUCAGACGUUGCUUGAUGAAUCCUU